CCUACGGGGGGCAGCAGUGGGGAAUAUUGCACAAUGGGGGAAACCCUGAUGCAGCGACGCCGCGUGAGUGAAGAAGUAUUUCGGUAUGUAAAGCUCUAUCAGCAGGGAAGAAAAUGACGGUACCUGAUUAAGAAGCCCCGGCUAACUACGUCCCAGCAGCCGCGGUAAUACGUAGGGGGCCAGCGUUAUCCGGAUUUACUGGGUGUAAAGGGAGCGUAGACGGCAGCGCAAGACUGGAGUGAAAUGCCGGGGCUGAACCCCGGAACUGCUUUGGAAACUGUGCAGCUAGAGUGCAGGCGAGGUAAGUGGAAUUCCUAGUGUAGCGGUGAAAUGCGUAGAUAUUAGGAGGAACACCAGUGGCGAAGGCGGCUUACUGGACUGUAACUGACGUUGAGGCUCGAAAGCGUGGGGAGCGAACAGGAUUAGAUACCCGAGUAGUC
rnacentral:rRNA from 1 species